CCUACGGGAGGCAGCAGUAGGGAAUUUUCGUCAAUGGGCGCAAGCCUGAACGAGCAAUGCCGCGUGAACGAGGAAGGUCCUCGGAUCGUAAAGCUCUGUUGAAGGGGAAAUAGAGCGGAGAGAGGAAAUGCUUUCUGAUUGAUAUUAUCAUUCGAGGAAGUCACGGCUAACUACGUGCCAGCAGCCGCGGUAAUACGUAGGUGGCGAGCGGUAUGCGGAAUGAUUGGGCGGAAAGGGUGCGUAGGGGGGCUGGUAAGUCUGGAGGGAAAGGGUACGGCUUAACCGGUAAAAGGCCUUGGAGACUGGCAGUCUAGAGAGCAGUAGAGGUCGGUGGAACUCGAGGUGUAGCGGUAAAAUGCGUAGAUAUAAGGAAGAACACCGGUUGCGAAGGCAGCCGCCUAGCCUGUUACUGACACUGAGGCACGAAAGCGUGGGGAGCAAAUAGGAUUAGAUACCCGGGUAGUC
rnacentral:rRNA from 1 species